GUUCCUAACAAAAAGAUAGAAACAAAAGGAAAAGGGUUUCGAUUGAAGAAGGAAGGGAGAGAGAGCAAGAAUCUGGAAGUAACAGCAAGCUGAAACAAGGAGAGGGAAUCAGGGAAGCAAAAAAAAAAAGGAGAGGAGCUUCGGGUAGGAAGGAAAACAGGAGGAAAAAGUGAGGAAAAAGCUGGAAGAAAGAGAAGAACCGAGAGAAAGAGAGGAAGGAAGAGAGGAAG
rnacentral:lncRNA from 1 species